UACACACCCUCACUACUCAUCCUCAUCCGGAGAACAUCUGGUUCCGUGCUACAACUUCCCAGCUAGAAGUCACUUGUUCACACGUUUCAGAUACGAAAUGUAAAAACCAAGACCCUUAUUAGGAUGCGCUACGGCACAGCGAUCGUGGCCCAUUGUGUCGGAGUCUCGAAAACGGCCACAGGGUAUGUCUGGGGAUACCCAGGAGCCCCCAUCCUGUGUGGGAGCGGCAUUCCCAAACUUUUGGGGAACGCGGCCUGACAAGGCUGGUAAAGCUGCAGACCGUGCAUGAAUGCGGGGAGAGUCAGAAUGCCUUCUCGGCCUUUCUGAUGGAGGCCGAGGGAGCCAGAAGGGAGCACAGAUUCAAGAUGCGGCUGCUACAACCCGGUGUUAGAAACACAUUUGCCCACAGUGUCAACCCCACACGUCAGCAGCACCGCUUUGUAGUGAGGUAUAUAUCGUCAUCUGUCGUCUUGGUCUUGGCCACAAUUCGCCUCCCUGUGGAAGUGAUGUGCUGUAAGAGAAUCCGAAAAACCAAAACGCGGAGCCCCACCAGACUCCAGGCAGUGGACCAGACCUGGACGACGAGUAGAAAUACUUUGUGAUGCCCCAGUGUGAAUAAUAGGACACGAAUCACAGAGGAUUGUGUCUUUCCACCUGUACGCAUCCGCUGCUUGCCUGAGGCAAUGGAGAUCAUGUGUUGCUUGUGACCACCCAGUGGUUCAGAUCCAGCCCCUAUGACCUCUUGGGGGGCUCUCCACGCUGGUGUGAGAAUGACAGCACCUGUAAGUAGGGUGUGAGCUGAUGGAAAGCAGUGUGCUGUGACCACAGCCCAGGACACACGUUACAGGUGACCAGAGGCAAUUGUUCGAAUUUCUCAGCAAGGCCCGUGGUGUAGCCAGCCGGUCCAGCUAACGUCACCCUCCUGAGACCCAGGUCUCUAGGGUUGUUCCCACCCCGUGCGUGCUCCCCAGUGGAGCCCGAAGGCCAGCCUGCGGCCAGCGCCCCUGACUCCUUGCAGUCAGGAACCUCCUUCUGAGCACCAGGGGAGCGUCGGCUCUUCUGGCUUUGACCUGUGAGGCUCUCCUACCACCAGGCGAUGCAGCCUCCUUGCGACAACAGAAUCACUGUGGAUGACGUCCACUCACCCACAGCUGAAACUCGUGCUACCAGGAACAGCCGCGGGGCUUGCUGGCUGGCCAGUAGACUGCAUAAAUACAAGACUCCACGUGGCUCGGCUUCACGCCAAAUGUCAGAAAGGGAAGGCCAGUGUGCCCCCCAACUCUUGGACUUGGGGAGUGUGCACGGAGUGAGACCAAGAGGGCAAUGAGUGAAGGCGGUGUGGAACAGGACGGUCUUUCCCUUCUGUGUGGCUCCUGCCAAGACCCACACGGUGGAUGGCGAGUCCCCGAGGGUGGAGCGCAUGGGAACCACCUCUCAGCCGGAUGCGGGGCUGAUGUCCCUUCCACCCUCCAAAGGAGAGCCAGAUGGCCACAUUCAUUCCUCUUGCUAUACUCUUGCUCAAGGUCAGCACGAGGGGCCGCGAAUGCCGCUCACUUGUGUGGGGAGGUGGGCGCCCUUGGCCACCGGGUGAGUGGAAACUGUCCUCGGAUCAGCUGUGGCCACGGCCACGCUAGGAUCCCACCCUCGCCCACACUUUUGACGGGGCGACUUUUGAUUGCUGCAUUAGGCAACGCUUUGUGGUAAACAUCAGGGUUGUCACUAGGAAGCGUGCCACGUUAUGCUUACGACUUUAAACAACCCAGUUUUCAAAUCUACUUUGGAAUCUGAGUGAACGUGAACUAGUCCACGUCUCCAAGGUGAGCCGGUGCCAAACACUUCUCUGGGUUGGAGACACUUCCCAAGCUUCCCUGUGGGCCUGUUCUUUGGACUCUUGUCAGCAGCUCCCCCAACUCUGCUAAUGAGGUUUCUGAUAUUGUUGGACUCUUCCAGAACAUUCCAUCUCAGAAACGCUGGCAAGCCUCCUGGCACCGAGAAAGAUGCUGCUUGUGAGUGACUGUCAGCCUCGGCUCUGCAUCUGGAGAACCUGGUUAUCUUGGGCUCUGUCCCCCUAAAAACCCUCCAGACUCUUUUCUGCAGCCACCUCGAAUCUCAUUCCACUCAGUGCUCACUGCACAGAAAUCAGACUCUGAACUUGCCAGGCUCCUGAGUCUGGGUGGAGUCUGGAGAUGGGUCGGGUCUGGGUUUCCCAUUCUGCAGAGCCCGCCGGACUAGCCUCGCCUCGCCCGGGCAGUGCUGCACCCCGAAGCCUCUUCCAGGCCUGGCGCCCUCCCCCAGCUCCCCCAUCCUACAGCAGGUGCUGCCCGGCAGAGUUGUGGCUGCCGGGGACCAAGCAGGGGGACACGAGCCGGCACCCAGGCGGCUGCUCCCGGAAGCUGGCAGAAGCAUGCUGCUGCCCAUGUAGACGCCUCCUGGCAUGGAAGGGCUGGGCCAGCGCCGGAGAUGGGAGUUCACGCCUCUGUGCGGGUGCUUAACCUUUCCUGCCUGUUGACUUAGGAGCAAAGCCAGUCAGGAAAUAGGCCCAAGAGCCAGAGGGCACCCAGCCCACGUCAACUCAGUACCGACCGAGCACCCAUUGUGCUCACCCCUGACAUCCUACACUGCGCAAACGUCCCCAGCAGCAGGGGAUUUGGGCCACAGAGUGAAAACCCGCAGCAGUGUGAAUCUGUGUUCUCCACAUCUCAUACCUGCCAAUACCUAUAUUUUCAGAAUAGAUUUUUGAAGAGCAAACAACCGUGUAUCACAGAGUAAGAUGUACACCCCAACCCAAGGAUCUUAAAGCAAACACGAGAAGCAGUUACCAGAUCACUCAGAAUUUGAUGUGGCUUGCAUUAUAUCCCUGCGGGACAGCAUGGGCCCAGAUCCUUCAGGCCAGGACUCCUAGGGACCUCUGGUUGACUUCUGCCUCCCUCCUGGCCCCACCCCUGCCUAGGCUCCUCCUGGUCCAGGAGCACUGGUGAGUGUCCUGCCCUGGCCUGCCCAGGCCCUGUCCACCUGCCCUCCUUGCACUGAUUGCACACAGUACUGUGGUGGUUUGGGUGCCAUCUGCCUGGUACCCACUGGCUCCUUGAAGGACGGACAGUAGCUGAUUCACAGGCCCAGCUCUGUGUUUGUGUCAAUCAACCAACCUUCACCACCGGGAGGAGGGAGGUAACAGGGACCUGACUGUGAAGACUGGGCACCUGAGUAACUUGCUUUUUCCGACAGUCCUCAUUUAUAUCAGUGCUCACAGUUGUGACAGCUGGGCAGUCAUUGGAUGUAAAUGGGCAGGUCCUCACUAGAUUCUUUCCAAGGGCUCCCCUCUGGGUACCAUGCCUGCAAGGUUGCAGGUGCCAGCACUCAGCCUGCGGCCCUAGUGCCUGGUGAGCGUCCGGGGCAGACACUUGGGCCUCGCUGGCUGUGGUGUGCUGGGAAGCUAAGUGUGCUUGCUGGGGACGGGGGGGGGGGGGGGGGGGGGGGGCCGGAUAUGGACGAGGUCCUAGUAGCUCUGCUAUGUGUCAGGGGCGGGGCUGUGGGGAUGGAGGGCCAUCUGCCAUCUUGUAACCCUGCGACCACCCCGCACACCUGACUGUGGGUCACUCAGACCCCUGUUCCUUCUCCCCCCUUGCCCACCUGGGACUGUCGAAGCACCUGUGCCCAUGUGCACCGUGCACAUGACAUUGGAGUUUGUUCUUGGUCUGUCUGUGCAUCUGUUCAUCUGAGGUUCUGACUCCGAGGCCAGGAGGCCAGGAGGCCAGGAGCUGGGGCUGGAACGAGACACCGCUCCCCACCCCUCCCCCUCGGCAGCUGCAGAGCCUUGGUGAAUUGUUUGCUUCACUGAACCUCAAUGUUCUCUUCGAGAAACUGGAGAUAAUGAAAGCACGUACUGAGGCAGGAAGAAAACUGUCUCCAAAGACAUCCAUGUCCUAGUCCUCAGAACCCGUGAGUGCUACCUUCUGUCAUGGAAAGGGAUGUGAUUAUGGGCAUGGAGCCUUGAGAUGGGGAGAGUGCUCUCGAUCAUCUGGUCCCCUUCUAAUUAUGCCCGUUCUUAAAAGUGGGGACUCUUUCCCCACUGUGUCACAGAGACAUGUGGCCACAGAGGGAGGGUCUGAGAAAUGACACGCCACUAUCUUAGAAGAUGGAGGAAGGGACGUGAGCCAAGGAAUGUGGAAGCUUCUAGAAGCUAGAGAAGUCAAGGAACAAAUCCCCCAAGUCAGCUUAUAAAUCCGGGGCAAUGUCCGUGCUUUGUAUUUCAGUAUACCUCACAGUAGCUAGAAUGGUGCUGGGGCCAUAAAAUAAUAAAAUUUAGAGAUUUAGAACUGGAAAGGAUCUCUCCAAUGAUUUUGUUCUACCACGAUAAGCAAUGUGUUGAUCACAGAUGGAUGGCUGGUGGAGAGAUAGAUGGGUAAGUAGAUGAGUGCUUGCGUAGAUAGAUGGAUGGGUGUGUGGGUGGAUGAGUGGAUGGACGAAAUAGCUAGCAGCCUAAAAUGAGGUUUUGAGAUAUUUGUGGGAUUUCUAAAUAAUUUCAAUCCUUUCAUCAGAGUUCAACCUGUCUCUUUUCCUCUCUUUGUAAGCCAUACAUAAUAGAAAAGUUGACUGAGUUAACUCUAACCUGAGUUAAAUAUUGAUCCUUGAGAACUCCGUGUUGAAUAAGACCAAAACAUCUAUGGUCAUUUACAUGUAACACUCAGAUAUCAUGUAUCCUUUAGGUUCAUUAAAUGCAUCAGAAUGCACUAGAUCCCAAAAGGGGAGGUAAAGAGUGAGGAGGUUUCCAGGUUUCUGGAGACGCACAGAUUCACCUAUAAUUCAUCUGUCACGUGGAACAUUGGCGACAGAAGGGAGAGGUUGAGAAACUUUGGGUGGUUCAGGAUUUAUUCAUAGGUUUGGCACACUAGAAGACAUGAUGAUCAAAAAUAUGGCCCUUAAAAUACAAAUGCCAUGGGUUCUCAAAAUAGUGGAAAUGGAAUCAUUAAUAUUGAAGCACAAGAGAACCAAACAAACCGAUUCUCCUAAUUUCCGUUACUUCUGUGAGUUGUUACUACUCCUCUGGCCUUGCCCCCAUUCCUAAAUUGGAUCUUUCAUGACCUCAGAUCAAGUCUGUCACUGUGAACACUACUAUCUUCAGAAAGCAGUCCAGGCUGCGGACCUCCCACAAGGCAGUCACCGAGGACAGGGGCCUCCUUGUAGCCCUGCUACAGACUUGUCGCUGGCACAGCCCCCUCCCAACAGAUGUUGGUCGAGUUCAUGAACUAAUCAGUUACAUAUUGUUAUUUAGCCAGUUUCCAUCUUCGCAUUGGGACAGACCUCAAGCCCAGAGAUGGUGUGAGACUUGACACAGCUAGUUAAUGGCAAACCACAGCUGGAAUCCAUGUCUGUUCAUAACUAUGCCAACACUUUUCCACCUUAAGAUACUCCAGAGAGGGGGCUCGUCCUCUCCUGUGGAAUGAGGCCAGGGCCCCGUGGGGUCUCAUUGGACCAUAAGGCUUCCUGUUCCCAAGUAUUGGAGGAGUCUCUGGUUUAUUAAAAUCAUCGGAGUCAUUCAAGUUCCUGUUCCAUUUAUAGCCCAGCCAUCAGAUGAGCUGUGGUGGCCCUAUUUCUGUCCCAGGCUCUUGGUGUCAGGGCUGGCUCCUUUGGGGUCAUGGAACAGGAUUUCCAUUCCAGACUUGCACCACAUUGCCCCAAGGAUGGAUGGCAGGUGGCUCAGAGCUAAAGUUUCCAACUGAGACGCAUCCAUUCAACACGUGUUUAUUUCAUACUAACAUGCUGGGCACUGCUGUAGGCUCUGGGGCACAGAAGUGAGCAAAUCAGAAGCCCACACAAUGGAAUACUACACAGCCAUGAAAAAGAAUAAAAUCUUGCCAUUAGAAAGAACAUGGAUAGAGCUAGAGGGUGUUAGGCUAAGUGAAGUAAGUCAGACAGAGAAGGAAAAAUACCCCAUGAUUCCACUUAUAUCUGGAAUCUAACAAACAAAGCAAGACAAAAUGAAAAACAGAAAGAAGCUCAUAAAUACAGAGAACAAAUAGGGGUCUGCCAGAGAAGAGAGGGUUAGGAAAUAGACGAACUAGGUGAAGGAGAUUAAGAGGUGCGAACGUCCACUUAUAAAAUAAGUCAGGGGAUGAAAAGUACAUAGCAUAGGGAAUAUCGUAGGGAAAAAAAAUCCUGCAACUUUAAUGAAUUCAUUUAUCAGUGCUAAUAGUUUUUUGGUGGAAUCUUUAGGGUUUUCAAUAUGGAGUAUCGUGUCACCUGCAAAGAGUGAAAGUUUUGCUCCUUCCUUGCUGAUGUGAAUGCCUUAAUUUCUCCAUCUUGUCUGACUGCCGUGGCUGGGAUUUCCACUACCACAUUGAAUAAAAGUGGUGAAAGUGGACAUCCCUGUCUCAUUCCUGAUCUCAGCGGAGAAGCUCUCAGCUUUUCACCACUGAGGAUGAUGUUAGCUGUGGGGUUGUCAUACAUGGCCUUUAUUAUAUUCCGUCUAUACUUUGUUGAGAGUAUUUAUCAUGAAUGGAUGUUGACUUUAAAGUUUUCGCUCUGUAACCAUGGAGUACGAUUUUAGUUGCAGAUUGUUCACAUAUGGGUCACGUUAAGAAAGUUUCCUUCUAUUCCCAGUUUAUUGAGUGUUUCCAUCAUGAAAGGGCAUUGAAUUUUCUUAAAUUCUUUUUCUGCAUCCAUUAAGAUGAUUAUAUGUUUUUUUCACCUCCAUUCUAUUAAUGUAUCAUAUUCCACUGAUUAAUCUUCAUAUGUUGAACCAUUCUUGCAAUCCAGGAAUAAAUGCUUCUUGGUAA